CCCCUCCCCACAGUCUCCAGCCAGAGCCCGUCUGUCUUCCCCCUGGUCUCCUGCUGCAAAGACGUCAUCAUGAAUGCCAGCUCCUUGACACUGGGCUGCCUGGUCACGGACUACUUCCCAGAGCCAGUGACAGUGACCUGGGACUCAGGGUCCCUGAAGAGGAGCACAGUGACCUUCCCCAGUGCCCACAACCUGGCCUCGAGCCUCUACACCACCGUCAGCCAGAUGACCACCUCAGGAGAGUGGGCCAAGCAGAAGUUCACCUGCAGCGUGGCCCACGCCGCGUCCACCACCAACAAGACCAUCAGGGUGUGUGCUGCGGACUUCUCCCCGCCCACCGUGAAGCUCUUCCACUCAUCCUGCCAGCCCAACGGGGAUGACAGGACGGUCAUCCAGCUCCUCUGCCUCAUCUCCGGCUACCACCCGGACGAGAUGGAGGUCACCUGGCUGGUGGACGGGCACAAGGAAGCAGACAGCUCCCAGCACGUCGGCCCCAUCAGGCAGGAGGGCAAGGCAAACUCCACCCACAGCGAGUUCAACAUCACCCAGGCCGACUGGGUGUCCCAAAAAACCUACACCUGCCAGGUCUCCUAUCGAGGCCUGACCUUUCAGGACCAUGCCCGCAAAUGCACAGAAUCUGACCCUCGAGGCGUGAGCACCUACCUGAUCCCACCCAGCCCCCUCGACCUGUACGUCCUCAAGUCACCCAAGAUCACCUGCCUGGUGGUGGACCUGGCCAGCGUGGAUGACAUGACCCUGAAGUGGACCCGGGAGAGCAAGCUCCCCUUGCCACAGGACCAGCGGGUCUCCAAGCGUCACUUCAAUGGGACGUACACCUUCAUGUCCACCCUGCCGGUGGACGCCACAGACUGGAUCGAGGGCGAAACCUACUACUGCACAGUGAACCACCCCGACCUGCCCAUCGCCAUUGUGCGCUCCAUCUCCAAGGCCCCUGGCAAACGUGCAGCCCCUCAGGUCCACGUGUUCCCCCCUCCUGAGGAAGGGCAGGGGCCCACGGACAAGCUCACCCUCACCUGCCUGGCUCAGAACUUCUUCCCUGCUGACAUCUCAGUGGUCUGGCUGCGUGAUGACAUCGCGGUCCGCACAGACCAGUACACCACCACGUGGCCCCGCAGGACCAGUGGCUCCGGCCCCACCUUCUUUGUCUUCAGCCGCCUAGAGGUCAACCAGGCGGAAUGGACACAAAACAGCAAAUUCUCCUGCCAAGUGGUCCAUGAGGCACUGACCCGAACCAGGACCCUUGAGAAAACCGUGUCCAAAGCCCCCGAGCUGGACCUGCAGGAUCUGUGUGUGGCGGAGCCACAGGGCGAGGAGCUGGACGGGCUGUGGACCAGCCUCUCCGCCUUCAUCAUCCUCUUCCUGCUCAGCGUGAGCUACAGUGCCACCGUCACACUCCUCAAGGUGAAGUGGGUGUUCGCCACUGUCCUGCAGGAGAAGCCGUGCGCCUGCCAGGACCACAAGCGCGUCAGGCAGCGGGCAGCCUAGGUCCGAAGUCCCAGCAACACAGGCCUGGUUCUCUCCUUCCCUGCUCUGCCCUGAGAGGGAGGGGGAAGCGGGCAAACCCCCAAAGGGGCCACAGCCAGGAACCCAACAACCUGCACACAGGCAGCCAGAGGUUCCGGCUCAGCCCCAAGUCCCAAGGUGCCUGUGAGGCCUGCCGGUCACAGCCCCCACCCCCACCCCACUUUGGGACAAGCCCUAGAAAAGCGUGUCCCCUCCACAGAGUGACCUGAACUUGGCACGAGUGCCGGCCAGGGCCACUCCCACGGCCACCUAACCCCUGAGUGAUGAGGGCCUGCAGCCUGAGGCCCUGCCGGCUGCUCAGAGUCCGGGUGCGGGGCAGGCCUCAUUCCCCAGGCUUAGUGUCCCUCCCCACCGCCCCCACGCCCAGCACCACCUGCCCACCAUCACGCUGACCGCCCUCAGCCCCGCAGCAGAAGCCCUUCUGGGGAGAAGCCACAGGACUAGUUGGGGCUGCGGGCAGAGGCCAGGCUGGGGGUCCCACAGCAGAAGGAGCUCCUGCGAAGCCCACACAGUGCCAUCCGCUGUGCCUGCCCCCCCUGCUGCCCCUGGGUGCCGAUUCUGUUUCCUUC